GAUCCUGGGUCUCCAGGAUCCGGCUCUGGGCUGAAGGCGGAGCUAAACCGCUGAGCUACUGUCGCUGCCCUUAUUUCUGUUUUAUAUUUACCCUGAGGCCAUAGACAUCUGAAGUCCCAACUUCUGUGGAGGAAGUAUCCUUAGAUUCUGGUAAGGAUGCUGUUGAACUCUGGAAAGCCAGUUUGAAAAAGCCACAGCCCUUACCUCAGCUAUAGAGACAGUCCAAAUGACAGCCCCACUGCCACUCAGCCCCAACACAAAUCAACAGCAAGCAUUUCUGAGAGCCUGCCACAUGUUGUACCUGUGCUCAAUGCCAGAAAUGUGGGGACAGUUGAGAUGCUGCUGCCACUUGGCACCAAAGACAGGAUAAGAAGGACUUGAUUUGCCCUUUGUAUUCCCAAGGUUGAAGACCAAGCAAGGAAGGCAAUGUUGGGGCCGAAGUAGGCUUUCCUGGUUGGUGGCAAGACACAGAAAAUGAGGCCCCUACAGUUGGAAGAGAAUGGACUCUAUCCUGGACCUGGCUCUCCUGGUUCGUGACCCUGGGCAAACUCACCAUCCUGAGAUUGAACUGGCUGAACAAGCUAGACGACCCAUAUACAGACAUAGUUCUGAUAAAUGGUGGAGCAGGAGGAAAAGGGAAAAGGGAAGUAGAGCCGGGCAGCACCAUAGAAACACUUUUGCCGUAGUCAGGCACGGGUUCAAAUCCUAGCUUUUUGAAAUCUGUGCCACCCUGGGUGAGGUACUGAAAAUCUCUUAUAGGCUGUGUGAUUGCUGCACUUUUCUAUAGCGUCAUGCCUGGGGAAACGAUAUCCUCCUUGUCCGGUCAACAUUAGGUUUGUUGGGUGACUGAGUGAGGCCAAUAAGAUAUAAGUGGAAGUGACCUGAGCCCCUUCUGAGUAGAAGCUUGGUCCCCCUCAUCCUUGUUUAUCCUUUACCUUGGGAAUGGUGACAUCUCAGAGAAGGGUGGCUCCUUAAGCCUGGGUUUUGGAUGGAAUCCACCAUAGCCAUAUGUAAUGUGAGUAAGAAAUAAACUUGUGUGGUU